GUUGUUGCCUUUGCCAGUCAAGAGAAAUGGUCUCCUUUGGGUUGUGGGGUGUGUGAUGGUCUAGAAAGNCCAGGGGACCGUGCCCGGUCCUCCCGCUGGGUGCCCGAGCUGCGGCAGCAUCACGCAGAGGCAGCGCUGCUGUCACCAGCGCUCCCGGCUCCCAGGUUUGCCCGGCGCGGGAUCAUCCCCCGGAGAGCCCCGCAUCCCGGCGGCAGCACCGAGCCUCGGCGAUGCGCUAUUUCAUUCCUGGAAAGCUCCAGCUCCAGAGAUAAAAUCUAAGUGGAUUCAGAGAACCUGAAAGGAUCGCAUGCUUCAUGGCUUUCCCCUCAGUAAUGUGGGAGAUAAACAGGAUGUAAUAAAGGAUCUGUCCCUCCUUGGAAAAGGGCCA
rnacentral:lncRNA from 1 species